CGCCGUGCAAGUGACGUCACGCCAAAAUGAUCCUAAAGAUAACCAUAAUGCAACAGGAAAGUGUCAUGGAUAACAAAAUACAGUUUCUGCCCAUGCUAGGCAGAGAUCUGCACACACGAUGAAGAAACGAGGAGAACGUCUUUGAACUGAGGUCCAGAGCCGACAAAUAAGGUUCGAGAUCGCGUGCUCAUUGGUAUGUCUCCGACGCAUCUGCUUCUUCGAUUGCAACUGGCAUUUUACGUGGCAUUGCUGUCCGUCUGGAAGUAUAGCUAUGCACUGAAUCCAUCCAAGGAGUGUCGAUUCGACACGAACUCGCUGCACGCGAGCUGCUUCCCUAUGAUCGGCGGGCACGCCGUCACAACGAGGGCCAACGUUCAUCGCUGCCACAAGCCGAUAGACGUCACCUUCUCCAUCAUCGUACGUCCCAGCGCGCGCGCGCGCGCGCUCACGCUCAACUGAGUCAUGAGGUCCAAAAUUGUCACCGAUGGUGAGACGACGUUACGACC